AUGAACGCUGGCGGCGUGCCUAAUACAUGCAAGUCGAGCGAACGGACGAGAAGCUUGCUUUUCUGAUGUUAGCGGCGGACGGGUGAGUAACACGUGGAUAACCUACCUAUAAGACUGGGAUAACUUCGGGAAACCGGAGCUAAUAUCGGAUAAUAUUUUGAACCGCAUGGUUCAAAAGUGAAAGACGGUCUUGCUGUCACUUAUAGAUGGAUCCGCGCUGCAUUAGCUAGUUGGUAAGGUAACGGCUUACCAAGGCAACGAUGCAUAGCCGACCUGAGAGGGUGAUCGGCCACACUGGAACUGAGACACGGUCCAGACUCCUACGGGAGGCAGCAGUAGGGAAUCUUCCGCAAUGGGCGAAAGCCUGACGGAGCAACGCCGCGUGAGUGAUGAAGGCCUUCGGAUCGUAAAACUCUGUUAUUAGGGAAGAACAUAUGUGUAAGUAACUGUGCACAUCUUGACGGUACCUAAUCAGAAAGCCACGGCUAACUACGUG
rnacentral:rRNA from 1 species